AGUGGCGAACGGGUGAGUAACGCGUGAGCAACCUGACUCUUAGAGGGGGAUAACACUCGGAAACGAGUGCUAAUACCGCAUAAGACCCACGACAUGGCAUCAAUACGAGGUCAAAGGAGCAAUCCGCUGAGAGAGGGGCUCGCGUCCCAUUAGAUAGAUGGCGGGGGUAACGGCCCACCAUGUCAACGAUGGGUAGCCGAGCUGAGAGGCUGAUCGGCCACACUGGAACUGAGACACGGUCCAGACUCCUACGGGAGGCAGCAGUGGGGAAUAUUGGGCAAUGGGCGCAAGCCUGACCCAGCAACGCCGCGUGAGGGAAGAAGGCUUUCGGGUUGUAAACCUCUGUCCUUGGUGACGAAACAAAUGACGGUAGCCAAGGAGGAAGCCCCGGCUAACUACGUGCCAGCAGCCGCGGUAAUACGUAGGGGGCGAGCGUUGUCCGGAAUUACUGGGCGUAAAGGGUGCGUAGGUGGCCUUUUAAGUUGGAUGUGAAAUACCCGGGCUUAACCUGGGGGGUGCAUCUAAUACUGGAAGGCUAGAGUGCAGGAGAGGAAAGCGGAAUUCCUAGUGUAGCGGUGAAAUGCGUAGAUAUUAGGAGGAACACCAGUGGCGAAGGCGGCUUUCUGGACUGUAACUGACACUGAGGCACGAAAGCGUGGGGAGCAAACAGGAUUAGAUACCCUGGUAGUCCACGCCGUAAACCAUGUGUGCUAAGUGUUGG
rnacentral:rRNA from 1 species